GGAGCCCUCAACUCUGGACCUCAAGUCCAACAUCGUCCAGGGCAGCAACAUCCAUCCCCUCGGCCUCAUCGCGGCAGCGCCGCUCGUCGCCCUCCCCUCAGACCUCACCGCCGGUGCGCGGGCCACAGUUCAUCGCAAGCAACUAAGCCACAGCCUCGGGAGGGAGUCGGGGGGAAGGGGGCGGCGCCGUCCACCUCAGCUUCCAGCACCUCCUCAUGGCGGAGGCACCGGCAGAAGGCCAGGCCGACACGCCGCUGUAGCUCAGCGCCGAUUAAUUUCCUGUUCGAAAUCGGAGCAAGCCAACAUUGGUGCUCUAAUUUAUGAGACGGCGGUGGCGCAACAUGAGCAAAGAGCGACAUGAAAAUGACGGACACAAUCACGACACAGCGGCACAAGUGCAAAGCCAAACAGAGACCGCGGUGGAGUUGCAGGGUGUUUGCCGACAGAGGCCCAGUGUCAGAGAGGUGUCGAGGUGUGGGGGCGAAGGGGAGGCCUGGUCCGCCCCGGCAGUAGGGCUCCUCCUCUUCCCCGGCGCGAUCAGAAGGCUGGUGCCUCCCCCAAGCGCGGAGGCCGGCAGGCCGCCGCUCCCGGUUGUCUCGUCUGUUCGAACCGAAUCUGGUGCGCUCCCUUGUCAAACGGCAAUCUCCACUGUUUUGCUUGGUGUGUUUGUGGUUGUGUGCAUAAUCUAGGUUGGAGUUCUUUUUUUUAGUCUAAUUGUACUGGUAUGGUUAACUCCAUACUCAAAUUAUCACCACUGGUAAACUAAACUGUCUUUUGCAAAGCUACAGAAUUUGGAGCCAUAGACAAUAGCA